AAUACAGCUUAAAUCUUCAGGGUUCAUACCAGGUUCAUGCUUGUAAUAAAGUUGUUUCAUCUUAUCCAGCAUUCUCUUCUGUUUUAGUUCUGAGUGAGAUUCUUAGACUUUCUUCUUUCUUUUUUUUUUCUUUUUUUUUUUUUUUUGAUUUGUUACUUUAACAUGUAUUGGUUAAUAAAUAAAUAAAUAAAGGGGGAGGGAGAAGUUUUCAACGUCAUUUCAGGAUAACUAUUUCCUGGUAUAAAAAGACAUUAUUCUCAAACAAUAACUUUCUAAAAAAAAAAAAUACAUCAUGCAAAGUUUUAAAAAGUUUCACUGAAUGUUUCAAAACUCUGGGAACAGAUUGUAUAGUAACCAUUUUGACCAGUUUUUGCCGAAGAAACACAAAACCUUGCAAGUCAACUCAAAGGCAGGCUUUGCGGCAAAGGCCUGCUGACCACAGCCCAGACUUUCUUCUUUCUUUUUCAUUUACACAUCCAUCCCCAUGGCUAGCAACAUUUGUUCAAUGAGUUACAGAAUUCCUGAAGUUAUUGGUGUCUACCUGUCUCCCUCUACCUUUAUUUUUUAGCAAAGAACUAUGUUUAGGGUGAUUACGAUUCAGAACUAUUUGAAGAGUAUGUUGAAUUAGGUAAUGCUUAGCAGUCACUUUAAACCUUGUAAUUCAAAUCAAUGUUAUUACUCUCGUAAAGCAAUUAACUCAUUGUUUCUUUUUGGAGAAACUUGUAACUUUCUUAAAGGAGUAUAUACAAACUUUUUGUGGACAGGACAAGAUACGCUCCCUCAACUAUUUCCUCAACAAAAACGGACUAAAAUUCUUUUUUUUUUUUUUUCCAUUAAAUUUCAGUAUUCUAAUACAAACAAUAGAAAUAUUCCUUUUGUUUUUACUCGGUCUACAACAGUUUAAUAAACUUUUAAUGUUGAAAGGGAUUUUAGAGAACAUCGAGUCUAACCUCUUCAUUUAGUAUGUGAGGAAAUUGCAUCUCACAGAAGACAGAGCUAGUGCCUAAAGGUAUAGCAGAUUAGAGUCAGAGUCCAAAAUCAAAUCAAAACAGAACUUCUGGUCUUCUGAUUUCUUCAUCUGUAACAUACUGGCUUGAAUGUAUUUCUUUUAUUCAGCAUAACCUGUUUUGUCACUGUGUGUUUAGGAGAAAACAGACACGGGAUGGGAACAUGAAAGCCAAUGCCAGUUUGGCACUAGCAUCUUCAUGCAGAAUGGAAUUCAUGCACAAAAACUUUCACAAGAAUGGACAAAAGAAUUCUGUAAAGUGUCAAGGUCAGGACUGGAAAAAAACCACUGCUUGCAAGCCCAGAAUCUGAAACCAGCUUUAUAAUAGACAUUAACAUAUGAUGACAUGGAAUACCUUAAAGCCCCCAAAGGCAGAAGUCUACAAUCUUUCCUUCUGACUUCUAAAAGCGCCUCAUGGAACAGUCACCCAAGUUUCACUGGAAUGAGUUUCAGGUGAAUGGUGUACAUGGAACGCCUGCACGUGCAGAUCUGCAAUAGCCAGUAGUAACAUGUUUGAGGCCUAACUGGAAGGUACCUGACCACCUGCAGUGCAUUUGUUUGCUAACCAUGUCUAACACACUCCCAUUUUUGUGCCUUGGUUCUCAUUUCUUCUACCAAAGAUGUAUCCUUUGCCCCACCACAGUGCUGUUAGCCCAUCCAAAUUUUCAUUCACUUGGAACUGUUCAACACUGCAUCAUGAAGUUAUAGUCUGCCUGCCUGAGGAAGUAAUUAAGAUUGCACAUAAUUACAGGCAUACCUCAUUUUAUUGCAUUUCACAGAUAUUGCGGGGAUUGUGUUUUGUUUUUUAGGAAUUGAAGUUUUGUGGCAGUCCUGUGUCGAACCAGUGCCAUUUUUCCGGCAGCAUUUGCUCACUUUGUGUGUGUGUCACACGUUAGUAAUUCUUGCAGUAUUUUAAACUCUUUCCUUAUGAUGAUGAUCAGUGAUUACAGACUCAUUGAAAGCUCAGAUGAUGGUUAGCAUUUUUUAGCAAUAAAGUAUUUUUUAAAUUAAGAUGUCAAUUGGGGUGUUUUUUUUCCUAGAUAUAAUGCUAUUGCACACUUAAUAGACUACAGUAUAGACAUGACUUUUAUAUGCACUUUUUGGUAAAACAAAAAAUUGAUUUGACUCCCUUUACUGUGAUACUCACUUUAUCCCAGUGAUCUGAAACCAAACCCACAAUAUAUGAGGUAUGCCUGUAUCUGCUAAUAAUAUUAUAGAUUUAUGAAUUUGGUAUGGAGUUGCUGUAUAUGAGCUCUAAGAUCCUAUAUAGAUCUAAAAUGUUUUAUAAUUCUAUAAUCCCCUUAACAUAUGUAAUGUGGGAAAAUGUAGAUGAUUUUUAGGAAAGAUAGAAAAAAUAUUUCAGAUGUAAAUGCUGUAUUUGGGUUUAUAAUUGAUUAAUGUUACUUAUAAAUUAUGCUAUAUAUUUAGACAUUAUAUGUUAAUUUUAAAAAUUUACAGCUUGUGUCCAUAAAUAAAUUUUGGGAAUAUA